rnacentral:rRNA from 1 species
CCUACGGUGGGCAGCAGUGGGGAAUAUUGGACAAUGGGGGGAACCCUGAUCCAGCGACGCCGCGUGAGUGAAGAAGUAUUUCGGUAUGUAAAGCUCUAUCAGCAGGGAAGAAAGGAAUGACGGUACCUGACUAAGAAGCCCCGGCUAACUACGUGCCAGCAGCCGCGGUAAUACGUAGGCGGCAAGCGUUAUCCGGAUUUACUGGGUGUAAAGGGAGCGUAGACGGUUACGCAAGUCUGGAGUGAAAGGCGGGGGCCCAACCCCCGGACUGCUUUGGAAACUGUAUAACUGGAGUGCAGGAGAGGUAAGUGGAAUUCCUAGUGUAGCGGUGAAAGGCGUAGAUAUUAGGAGGAACACCAGUGGCGAAGGCGACUUUCUGGACUGUACCUGACGCUGAGGCGCGAAAGCGUGGGUAGCGAACGGGAUUAGAUACCCCUGUAGUC